CAGGUGUAGUAGACCUGACAGUGAAAUGCUGACUUACAAGCCCUUAAACAACAAUGCAGUUUUAAGAAAAUCCCUAACAAAGUAAGAGAUAAGAAUAACAAAUAAUGAAAGAGCAACCGUAAAUAACAAUAGCAGGGCUAUAUACAUGAGGUAGCGGUACAGAGUCAAUGUGUCAAUGUGCAGGGGGGCAUUGGUGUCGAGGUAAUUAUGUACAUGUAGGUAGAGUUAUUAAAGUGACUAUGAACUGCAGCCUUAGUCAACAGUAUCAUCCAGGAAACCAGAUUAGACUAUUAGCUCUAUUCUAUGACUUAAGAUGACAUCUGAGAUGACAUGUAUUACUGGUUGUCAUUACACAGAGUGCCAGUGAGGUUACCACUCACAAGAGUAAACAUUUUACAACUCAAUGUCAAAUAUUUACUUAUUGUUACACAAAUGUAUCAAUUUGCUCAAUUCAGUGUUGUGGGCUAUCAGUAAUGACACAAGAAAGACUCAACUCAACUUAUUUUGGUCAACCGUGGUGACUAAUGCCUAGAUUCAAUUUGUAGAGCAGAAGAUCUGCUGAAAUGUAAAGGUCAUUUCCGUUUGAGUCGACAUAUGCAGCGUUUACCGUGAACGCAGUCUCUCUGCAGUCACAGGAACAUUGCCUUCCACGCUACGGAUUGAAUCUAGCCCUAGAAGUCCAAAUAAAUUGCAGGGCUGUUCCAGUUUGGCCUUACAGUUGAUUCAUUUGGUAAAAAUGUCCACACUAUCAAUGUCAUUUCCGUUUGAGUCGACAUAUGCAGCGUUUACCGUGAACGCAGUCUCUCUGCAGUCACAGGAACAUUGCCUUCCACGCUACGGAUUGAAUCUAGCCCUAGAAGUCCAAAUAAAUUGCAGGGCUGUUCCAGUUUGGCCUUACAGUUGAUUCAUUUGGUAAAAAUGUCCACACUAUCAAUGUCAUUUAGAGUCACAUAUUGCCAGAUUAUGUAUAACACUGUAUAUGUUAGGUAUAUAUUUUAUUUGACUAUGUAUUCAGUGUUGCUAAACUCUUCUAUUUACCAAGGGGUUGUACUUUAUCCUUCUCUAAGUGUGUAGUUGAUGGAAAUAGUGUUUACCUUGUAUCAUGUCUGUAUGUUUGUGAAAACACAAAGGAAGAGACCAUUAUAAGAAUGCAGAUAUUUAAACCAAAUUUGUUUUAAAAUACGGUUCAGUGUAAAUAAAAAUCACACACUGACUUCAGAAACUUUUAGAUCAAACGGCCUUUUGACUGGUGGCAGGGUACAACUAAUAAUCCUAGAGCAGGUUUUCAUCAAGGAUAUCUCUGUACUUUGCUCCAUUCAUCUUUCCCUCGAUCCUGGCUAGUCUCUCAGUCCCUGCCGCUGAAAAACAUGCCCACAGCAUGAUGCUUAAGGUCUUAAGGUGCCUUUUGGCAAACUCCAAGCGGGCUAGUUUAAAUCAUUCAUUAUUUUGCCUGUUUAAUUGUAUAUGUAAUAUACAUAAAUAAACACCAAAUUAUGGACACAAAUUGUAUUUUGGAAUAUUUCUAAUACAUUUCUGAAGGAUAGUGUAUGUACAUUCAGUGUGUAUGGAUAAGUCAUAUCAGAGUUUAAAGACACAUUUGACAAUGUUAUGAGAAUGCAGCAGAAAGAGACUAUUCUUAAAGUCUGAAAUGACAUGUAUUACUGGUUGUCAUUACACAGAGUGCCAGUGAGGUUACCACUCACAAGAGUAAACAUUUUACAACUCAAUGUCAA
ensembl:lncRNA